UACAGAGGUCCCAAGCGUUGUUCGGAUUCAUUGGGCGUAAAGGGUGCGUAGGCGGCGCGGUAAGUCGGGUGUGAAAUCUCGGGGCUUAACUCCGAAACUGCAUUCGAUACUGCCGUGCUUGAGGACUGGAGAGGAGACUGGAAUUUACGGUGUAGCGGUGAAAUGCGUAGAUAUCGAGAGGAACACCAGUGGCGAAGGCGAGUCCCUGGACACUUCCUGACACUGAGGCACGAAAGCUAGGGGAGCAAACAGG
rnacentral:rRNA from 1 species